UCCGGCUUAUCACCGGCAGUCCCCUUAGAGUGCCCAACUGAAUGAUGGCAACUAAGGGCGAGGGUUGCGCUCGUUGCGGGACUUAACCCAACAUCUCACGACACGAGCUGACGACAGCCAUGCAGCACCUGUGCACGAUCUCCGAAGAGGGGCUCUCGUUUCUGAGAGCUUGCUCGUACAUGUCAAGCCUAGGUAAGGUUCUUCGCGUUGCGUCGAAUUGAACCACAUGCUCCACCGCUUGUGUGAGCCCCCGUCAAUUCCUUUGAGUUUCAGCCUUGCGGCCGUACUCCCCAGGCGGGGCACUUAACACAUUAGCUCCGACAGUGACGGCAUCGGACCUCCACUGCCUAGUGCCCAUCGUUUACAGCUAGGACUAC
rnacentral:misc_RNA from 1 species